GGGGAUGUUUGAUCCCCGAGCUAAAUUUUAGCCCUGUCAUAUCGAAUGUUUAAUACUAAUUAGGAGUAUUAAACAUAGGCUAAUUAUAAAACCAAUUUCACAACCCCUAGGCUAAAUCGCGAGACGAAUCUAUUAAGCCUAAUUACUCCAUGAUUUGACAAUAUGAUGCUACAGUAAACAUUCGCUAAUGAUAGAUUAAUUAGGUUUAAUAGAUUCAUCUCGCGAUCUAACCUAGGGGUUCUGCAAUUAGUUUUGUAAUUAGCUCAUGUUUAGUCCUCCUAAUUAGCAUCCGAAUAUCCGAUGUGACACGGACUAAACUUUAGCUCCAGGAUCCAAACACCCCCUAAC
rnacentral:lncRNA from 1 species